rnacentral:tRNA from 1 species
UGGUGUGGCUCAGCGGUAGAGCAGCUGAUUCGUAAUCAGCAGGUCGUGAGUUCAAUCCUCACCACC